GGUUGAUCCUGCCAGUAGUCAUAUGCUUGUCCCAAAGAUUAAGCCAUGCAUGUCCAAGUAUAAGCCUUUAUACGGUGAAACUGCGAAUGGCUCAUUAAAUCAGUUAUAAUUUACAUGAUGAAAGCACUACAUGGAUAACCGUGGUAAUUCUAUGGCUAAUACAUGCGCGGGCGUAUUAUUGCGCCUGGUAUUUAUUAGAUAAAACCAGCGUGGACACAGUCCACAGAUGGCGAGUCAUGAUAACUUUGCGGAUCGCAGGCAUUGGCGGCGACGCAUCAAAGAAAUUUCUGCC
rnacentral:rRNA from 1 species